GACAGAAGGUUCGAUAUUCAUUCGAUCGAUGAAUGAAAAGGCACAAUGGCAAAAUCGGACGGGCUCCUUUUCAAAUCCACGUCUCAGAUGUCCCCCCCGCCACCCUUCCACAGUCUGCAGUCGCUCAGCGGCUGGUGUGGCAGGCGGAGUGGAAGGAGAGAAAGAGCGAGAGCGAGAGAGAGAGGAGAGCAAGGGUUACAUCAAGGCUGCUCCCUGGACCGUGCAAACAAGUCUAGACCAGUGACCUGUUCAAUGGCUCCUUUUGAGGAGUGGGGCAAGUUCGGUCAGAGCGAGGAGAAAGCCAGGCGUGCCCCUCUUUUCAGUGCCGGAGCAGCUCACAGCCCGCGACUGCCAGGAGAGAGGAAGAGAGUGAGAAAUGACCGUGGGUGACUCCUUACCCUGAAAGGCACACAAUCAACAGGGUGAAGAAGCUGGAUAUGGAGGUCCUGGGCUGGCGUGGUU